AGCCUGACCCCAGGGGCCCUCAGGCUUGGGCACACCGUCUCUAGGACAGACAUACCCAUUUUUGCUGUAGGGCCCCGAUGAUGAGCCCGGGGGUGGCUUGGCACUGAAGCAAAGGAUGCCAGGGCUCAGCUGGCAGCAAACUGACCAGGAAACUGAGGCUUGGGCCUAGAGGCCAGGAUGCCUCUUGGUCCCAGUCCACCCUCACUCAGAGCUUUACCAAUGCCCUCUGGGUAGUUGUCGGGUAGCGGUGGACGCCACUGAUACUCUGGCCAGCCUAGGACUUCGCCAUUCCGCUGAUUCUGCUCCUCCAGCCACUGGUUGAGCGGUUGGAAGUACUCCAGCAGUGCCUUGGCAUCCAGGGCAUCUGAGCCUACCAGGUCCUUCAGCACCUCCUGCCAGGGCCUGGAGCAGCCAGCCUGCAAUACCUGCCUGCCAAACAGAGUGACCACUGUGGGCACAGGGGACACAGGGUGACAGCUGGACUAAGGACUGUCUGUUGGGAAGAAGGCAGAAAUGGAGCAUAGCCCAGGAAGGAGCAUUCUGACUGUCAACCUUUGGGUCCGAAAGAGGACAGAGCAGGAAUGUGGGUAGAGAAGAUACCUGAUGUAUGGUGUCACGCUCGGGAUGUGAAACUUGGCUCCGGCAUCAAAAUGGGUUUCAUUCCGGGAAACUGGUGGGCAGAUCCCCUGAUACUUGGUUCUAGAAGAGGAUGUUUAAAUCCUAAGGGCCUAGGCUGUACAGAUUGCCUGAGACUUGCAGAGAAGACACUGGUUCCACCCCUCCUA